rnacentral:misc_RNA from 1 species
GAUGAAGAACGUAGUGAAAUGCGAUAAGUAAUGUGAAUUGCAGAAUUCAGUGAAUCAUCGAAUCUUUGAACGCACAUUGCGCCCGCCAGUAUUCUGGCGGGCAUGCCUGUUCGAGCGUCAUUACAACCCUCAGGCCCCCGGGCCUGGCGUUGGGGAUCGGCGGAGCCCCCCGUGGGCACACGCCGUCCCCCAAAUGCAGUGGCGGUCCCGCCGCAGCUUCCAUCGCGUAGUAGCUAACACCUCGCGACUGGAGAGCGGCGCGGCCACGCCGUAAAACACCCAACUCUUCUGAAGUUGACCUCGAAUCAGGUAGGAAUACCCGCUGAACUUAAGCAUAUCAAUAAGCGGAGG